UGCCAACAUAGAAUUUAACAAAAAAGAAGCAAACUGCUUGGAGGUGGUCGACGAAAAGAACUUAGAUCCGAAAGAAUUUUAUAACGAUAACCAAAUGAUUAAAGACAUAUUAAUAACAACUAUUAGUACAAUUUUUAAAGAAAAAAAUAAAGCACAAAUAAAGCGUGUGGUUGAUGCUUUAGGUGUAUACAUAACUUUAAGUUUGUUAGAAAAAACUAUUUUGAUUCAAAAAUAUGGAGGGAUAAAUAUGGUUGGUAAGACAGGAAAAAGAACUAGCGGUGGCGUUUUUUUUUAUUUAAUAAAAUAUAUGUAUCGAAAUGAUAUUAUAUCGAAAUCUAAGUAUGAUUAUAUUCUUGAAGAAGAAAAGGAGAAAAAAAAAACAUAUCUCAAGUUAAAAAAAAAAUUAUUACAAGAAGAGGAAAGUAAAAAUGAGGAAAGUAAAAAGGAGGAAAGUAAAAAUACGGAAAGUAAAAAGGAGGAAAGUAAAAAGGAGGAAAGUAAAAAUGCGGAAAGUAAAAAGGAGGAAAGUAAAAAGGAGGAAAACAAAAAGGAGGAAAACAAAAAGGAGGAAAGUAAAAAGGAGGAAAGUAAAAAGGAGGAAAGUAAAAAGGAGGAAAGUAAAAAGGAGCAAAACAAAAAGGAGCAAAACAAAAAAGAAGAAAGCAAAAAAGAGCAAAACAAAAAAGAAGAAAGCAAAAAAGAGCAAAACAGGUUGUGCGUUACACGUGAUGAUACAGCUAUUGUCAUAGAAAAUGAACCAAAUGGAAAAAAUAAAAUAAAUAAACUGAGUAAUAAAAGGAAUAAAAGUAGUACAACUAAUGUGAGUAAUGAUAGGGACGUUAAUAGGGGCACUAACAGAGAUUUCAAUAAAGAACUAAACAAAAGUAUUGAAACAAAAAAUAUUAGUAGAUGCAUAUUCAACAAAAGCAUUAACAAUAGUAGUAGUUCCAUUUUAAAAACAAAGGAAGUUGCACAGUGUAAUAAUAAGUUAGUAACAAAAGGUACUCUAAGUAAUAAAAUUGUUACGAAUAAAAAAAAAACAGAGCCAAAUCACAAUAAAGCUGAUAUUAAAAACAUAAUAAACACAAUGGAUCAGACACAGGAAAAUAUAAAUGAUAUUAAUAGCAAUGCUUUUGCAAAAAAAAUGAAUGUGAAGUGUGACACGCAUAACAAUUUGACCAAAAUUAAUAACAACAAUGACAUUAAUAAGGACGUUAAUUAUAAUACUGCUUACACGGUUAAAGGGCAAACAAAAAACAAAAGUAAAAAUAAAAAUAAAAAUAACAAUAAAAAUAACAAUAAAAAUAACAAUAAAAAUAACAAUACUAGCAGCCUAUCCACCCAUAACCAUAAGUCGAAGAGUGAAAACACAUUAAACGAAUAUAGUAAUAACGUUUGUUUGAAAAAAUAUAAUUAUACUUUAAAAAAAAAUACGGAUUUUAAAACUGUAUCAUCUUAUAAUAAAAACAAUAAACCGGAUGAUACAGUUUUAAAAAAAAAACAAAACAAUAAUAACUUUGUGAAUAAUAACCUUGUGAAUAAUAACCUUGUGAAUAAUAACAAUGUGAAUAAUAACAUUGUGAAUAAUACAAAUUUAUCUGUUUCGAACGAUUCCAUUAAAAAUAUGAACGGAGAUAAACAAAAGAAUAGCCAUUUUAACAUUAGUAAUGCAGUUGUUGAUAGGAGCAGCAACGAAGAAAACACAGGGAACGCUGUUAACAAUAAAACAUUUACUAACAACGUCAAGGAUAAAAGUGUUGAAAACAAAGUAAAUAAUAACAGCACUAACAACAAGGUACCGGAAAAAAACAAAAAAAAAAAUAACAAUUUAAUUAACAAAAUGAAUAAUACCAGUUGUAUCGAAAAAGUAAAUAGGGAACAAUCUUAUGUUAAUAUAAUGCAAAAUCAACAUGAUAAUUAUAAAAAUUCGCAAAUAAUACAAAGUAAAAAAAAAAAAAUGUACAAAUUUAAUAACAAUGGAUAUGGAACUGCUAACUAUAAAAAUAGUACUACCAUGAAAAACGUGAACAACAUGAACCACAUAAACGGAAUCAGUCAAGUAAGUCAAAUGGCCCAACUGAACAAUAUGAACAAACCAAGCCAUAUGAACAAACCAAGCCAUAUGAACAAACCAAGCUAUAUAAACCACCUAAACCAGAUGAAUCAGCUAAACCAAAUGAAUCAGCUAAACCAGAUGAAUCAGCUAAACCAGAUGAAUCAGCUAAACCAAAUGAAUCAGCUAAACCAAAUGAAUCAGCUAAAC
rnacentral:lncRNA from 1 species